rnacentral:rRNA from 1 species
AUUGAACGCUGGCGGCAUGCCUUACACAUGCAAGUCGAACGGCAGCGGACCUUCGGGUGCCGGCGAGUGGCGAACGGGUGAGUAAUAUAUCGGAACGUACCUUUCAGUGGGGGGAUAACGUAGCGAAAGUUACGCUAAUACCGCAUAUUCUGUGAGCAGGAAAGCAGGGGAUCGCAAGACCUUGCGCUGAUUGAGCGGCCGAUAUCAGAUUAGCUAGUUGGUGAGGUAAAGGCUCACCAAGGCGACGAUCUGUAGCGGGUCUGAGAGGAUGAUCCGCCACACUGGAACUGAGACACGGUCCAGACUCCUACGGGAGGCAGCAGUGGGGAAUUUUGGACAAUGGGCGCAAGCCUGAUCCAGCCAUGCCGCGUGAGUGAAGAAGG